rnacentral:rRNA from 1 species
AUUCCUACGGGAGGCAGCAGUGAGGAAUCUUCCACAAUGGGCGAAAGCCUGAUGGAGCGACACCGCGUGAAGGAUGAAGCCUUUGUUGGUGUAAACUUCUUUUCUCUUGGAAGAUAAUGACGGUACAAGAGGAAUAAGGGGCGGCAAACUUCGUGCCAGCAGCCGCGGUAAUACGAAGGCCCCAAGCGUUAUCCGGAAUUACUGGGCGUAAAGCGUCUGUAGGUGGUCUGGAAAGUUUCAAGUGAAAGGUCAGGGCUCAACCCUGUACUUGCUUGGAAAACUAUCAGACUUGAGUGCGGGAGAGGCAAGCAGAACUGUAUGAGUAGGGGUGCAAUCCGUUGAUACAUACAAGAAUACCAAAAGCGAAGGCAGCUUGCUGGAACGCCACUGACACUGAGAGACGAAAGCGUGGGGAGCAAAAGGGAUUAGAUACCCCUGUAGUCCACGCCCUAAACGAUGGAUGCUAAGUGUCGGGCUUUGCCCGGUGCUUCAAGCUAACGCAUUAAGCAUCCCGCCUGAGGAGUACGGCCGCAAGGUUAAAACUCAAAUGAAUAGACGGGGACCCGCACAAGCAGUGGAUCAUGUGGUUUAAUUCGACACUAAACGAGAAACCUCACCUAGGCUUGACAUUGAUAGAAAGAGACAGAAAUGUUUUUGUGCCCGCAAGGGAACUUGAAAGCAGGUGCUGCAUGGUUGUCGUCAGCUCGUGCCUUGAGGUGUUCGGUUAAGUCCGUUAACGAGCGCAACCCAUGUCGUUAGUUAUUAUGUCUAACGAGACUGCCUGAGUUAAUCAGGAGGAAGGUGUGGAUGACGUCAAAUCAGCAUGGCCCUUAUGCCUAGGGCUACACACAUGAUACAAUGGUCGGUACAAAGGGUUGCAAUAUGGUAACAUGGAGCCAAUCCCAGAAAGCCGAUCUCAGUCCAGAUUGAGGGCUGCAACUCGCCCUCAUGAAGUUGGAAUUGCUAGUAAUCGUGAAUCAGCUAUGUCACGGUGAAUCUGUUCCCGGGCCUUGUACACACCGCC